AAGUCGUAACAAGGUUUCCGUAGGUGAACCUGCGGAAGGAUCAUUAAUACGUAUCCACGUAUCAACCGAAUCGUGAACAUGUUAGACGCCUUGAGUUGAGAGUAUUUGCGGUUUCAGCGGUCUCUUUCCUUUUGGAGAGAGAAAAAAUGAUGAUGUAGCGCUGACCGGUCCUAGUUUUCUUCACGGAAAGCUAGCUCAACCAAGUGCGGUUUUUUCUUUCUUCUACAUCAUCUUACAUACCAUUUAUUAACCCCAUGUACACAAUUCUGAACUGAAUAAAUUCUUCCGACUCACAACUCUUAACGGGGUUGUUGAGAAAGAAGUCUCAAUACGAAACUAAAAACAACUCUUAACAACGGAUAUCUUGGUUCUC
rnacentral:misc_RNA from 1 species